rnacentral:rRNA from 1 species
AACGAACGCUGGCGGCGCGCCUAAUACAUGCAAGUCGAGCGAGAAGACGUAGCAAUACGUUUGUAAAGCGGCGAACGGGUGAGGAAUACAUGGGUAACCUACCCUCGAGUGGGGAAUAACUAGCCGAAAGGUUAGCUAAUACCGCGUACGCUCCUUGGACUUCGGUUCAGGGAGGAAAGCGAUACCGUGGGUAUCGCGCUCUUGGAUGGGCUCAUGUCCUAUCAGCUUGUUGGUGAGGUAACGGCUCACCAAGGCUUCGACGGGUAGCUGGUCUGAGAGGACGAUCAGCCACACUGGCACUGCGACACGGGCCAGACUCCUACGGGAGGCAGCAGUAAGGAAUAUUGCGCAAUGGGCGAAAGCCCUGACGCAGCGACGCCGCGUGGGGGAUGAAGGUCUUCGGAUUGUAAACCCCUUUCGGGAGGGAAGAUGGAACGAGCAAUCGUUCGGACGGUACCUCCAGAAGCAGCCACGGCUAACUUCGUGCCAGCAGCCGCGGUAAG